rnacentral:misc_RNA from 1 species
AAUGCCUGAGCCAGGGCCAUG